rnacentral:rRNA from 1 species
UAACAAGGAUUCCCCUAGUAACUGCGAGUGAAGCGGGAAAAGCUCAAAUUUAAAAUCUGGUAGUCUCUGGCUGCCCGAGUUGUAAUCUAGAGAAGUGUUAUCCGCGCUGGACCGUGUAUAAGUCUCCUGGAAUGGAGCGUCAUAGAGGGUGAGAAUCCCGUCUUUGACACGGACUACCAGGGCUUUGUGAUGCGCUCUCAAAGAGUCGAGUUGUUUGGGAAUGCAGCUCUAAAUGGGUGGUAAAUUCCAUCUAAAGCUAAAUAUUGGCGAGAGACCGAUAGCGAACAAGUACCGUGAGGGAAAGAUGAAAAGAACUUUGGAAAGAGAGUUAAACAGUACGUGAAAUUGUUGAAAGGGAAACGCUUGAAGUCAGUCGCGUUGGCUAGGAAUCAGCCUUGCUUUUGCUUGGUGUACUUCCUUGUUGACGGGUCAGCAUCAAUUUUGACCGGUGGAAAAAGACUAGUGGAAUGUGGCAUCUUCGGAUGUGUUAUAGCUGCUAGUUGUAUACAUCGGUUGGGAUUGAGGAACUCAGCACGCCGAAAGGUCGGGGUUCGCCCACGUUCGUGCUUAGGAUGCUGGCAUAAUGGCUUUAAUCGACCCGUCUUGAAACACGGACCAAGGAGUCUAACAUGCCUGCGAGUGUUUGGGUGGAAAACCCGAGCGCGUAAUGAAAGUGAAAGUUGAGAUCCCUGUCGUGGGGAGCAUCGACGCCCGGACCU